UACAGAGGUCUCAAGCGUUGUUCGGAUUCAUUGGGCGUAAAGGGCGCGUAGGCGGCAAUUCAAGUCAGCUGUGAAAUCUCCGGGCUUAACUCGGAACGGUCAGCUGAUACUGCUUUGCUAGAGUGCAGAAGGGGCAAUCGGAAUUCUUGGUGUAGCGGUGAAAUGCGUAGAUAUCAAGAGGAACACCUGAGGUGAAGACGGGUUGCUGGGCUGACACUGACGCUGAGGCGCGAAAGCAUGGGGAGCGAACAGG
rnacentral:rRNA from 1 species